rnacentral:rRNA from 1 species
UACGAAGGGGGCUAGCGUUGUUCGGAAUUACUGGGCGUAAAGCGCGCGCAGGCGGCUAUCCAAGUCAGUGGUGAAAGCCCGGGGCUCAACCCCGGAAUUGCCUUUGAGACUGCAUCGCUAGAAUUGUGGAGAGGUAAGUGGAAUUCCGAGUGUAGAGGUGAAAUUCGUAGAUAUUCGGAAGAAACACCAGUGGCGAAGGCGACUUACUGGACACAUAUUGACGCUGAGGUGCGAAACGUGGGGAGCAAACAGGG